UAUGGGGGGAGCAAGCGUUGUUCGGAUUUACUGGGCGUAAAGGGCGCGUAGGCGGCGCAACAAGUCACUUGUGAAAUCUCCGGGCUUAACCCGGAGCGGCCAAGUGAUACUGUCGUGCUAGAGUGCGGAAGGGGCUACUGGAAUUCUCGGUGUAGCGGUGAAAUGCGUAGAUAUCCGGAGGAACACCGGUGGCGAAGGCGGCUUCCUGGACCGACACUGACGCUGAGGCGCGAAAGCUAGGGGAGCAAACGGG
rnacentral:rRNA from 1 species